AACGAACGCUGGCGGCAUGCCUAACACAUGCAAGUCGAACGAGACCUUCGGGUCUAGUGGCGCACGGGUGCGUAACGCGUGGGAACCUGCCCUUAGGUUCGGAAUAACUCCCCGAAAGGGGUGCUAAUACCGGAUAAUGUCUUCGGACCAAAGAUUUAUCGCCUUUGGAUGGGCCCGCGUUGGAUUAGCUAGUUGGUAGGGUAAAAGCCUACCAAGGCGACGAUCCAUAGCUGGUCUGAGAGGAUGAUCAGCCACACUGGGACUGAGACACGGCCCAGACUCCUACUGGAGGCAGCGGUGGGGAAUAUUGGACAAGGGGCGAAAGCCUGAUCCAGCAAUGCCGCGUGAGUGAUGAAGGCCUUAGGGUUGUAAAGCUCUUUUACCCGGGAGGAUAAUGACAGUACCGGGAGAAUAAGCGCCGGCUAACUCCGUG
rnacentral:rRNA from 1 species